rnacentral:rRNA from 1 species
GACGAACGCUGGCGGCGUGCUUAACACAUGCAAGUCGAACGGAAAGGCCCUGCUUUUGUGGGGUGCUCGAGUGGCGAACGGGUGAGUAACACGUGAGUAACCUGCCCUUGACUUUGUGAUAACUUCAGGAAACUGGGGCUAAUACCGGAUAGGAUCUCCUGCUGCAUGGUGGUGGUUGGAAAGUUUCGGCGGUUGGGGAUGUACUCGCGGCUUAUGAGCUUGUUGGUCGGGUAGUGGCUUACCAAGGCUUUGACGGCUAGCCGGCCUGAGAGGGUGAACGGCCACAAUGGGACUGCGAUACGGAGCAGAAGCGUAUGGGAGGCAGCAGUGGGGAAUAUUGCACAGUGGGCGGAAGCGUGAUGCAGCAACGCCGCGUGCGGGAUGACGGGCUUCGGGUUGUGAACAGAUUUGGACUGUGACGAAGCGUGCGUGACGGUAAUGGGUAAAGAAGCACCGGCUAACUACGUG